GACGAACGCUGGCGGCGUGCUUAACACAUGCAAGUCGAACGGAAAGGCCCUGCUUUUGUGGGGUGCUCGAGUGGCGAACGGGUGAGUAACACGUGAGUCACCUGCCCUUGACUUUGGGAUAACUUCAGGAAACUGGGGCUAAUACCGGAUAGGAGCUCCUGCUGCAUGGUGGGGGUUGGAACGUUUCGGCGGUUGGGGAUGGACUUGCGGCUUAUCAGCUUGUUGGUGGGGUAGUGGCUUACCAAGGCUUUGACGGGUAGCCGGCCUGAGAGGGUGACCGGGACCCCUGGAACUGGGAGACGGGGCAGACUGCUACGGGAGGCAGCAGUGGGGAAUAUUGGGCAAUGGGCGAAAGGCUGAUCCAGCCAUGCGGCGGGUGUGAAGAAGGUCUUCGGAUUGUAAAGCACUUUAAGUUGGGAGGAAGGGCAGUAAGUGGAUAACUUGCUGUGUUGAAGUUACCAAAAGAAUAAGCACCGGCUAACUUCGUG
rnacentral:rRNA from 1 species